rnacentral:rRNA from 1 species
AAUGAACGUUGGCGGCGUGGAUUAGGCAUGCAAGUCGUACGCACAGCUUCGGCUGUGAGUGGCGCAAGGGUGAGUAAUGCGAAGGUAACCAACCCUGGUGUUGGGCAUAACCGCGGGAAACUGCGGGUAAUUCCCAGCGACGUCGCGAGAUGGCAUCAUCUUGCGACCAAAGGUGUGAUUCCGCUCUAGGACGGGCCUUCGUGGUAUUAGGUAGUUGGUGAGGUAAUGGCUCACCAAGCCGACGAUGCCUACCGGGUGUGAGAGCAUGACCCGGCACACUGGAACUGAGACACUGUCCAGACACCUACGGGUGGCUGCAGUCGAGAAUCUUCGGCAAUGGGCGAAAGCCUGACCGAGCGACGCCGCGUGAGGGAAGAAGGCCUUCGGGUUGUAAACCUCUUUCGUAGAGGAGGAAGGGGCCGUGCAGAGCGGUCCUUGACCUAUUCUAGGAAGAAGCUUGGGCUAAGUUCGUGCCAGCCGCCGCGGUAAAAC